ensembl:lncRNA
AUGAACUGGAAACAUCGCUCAGUGCAAUGCUUUGUAAAAGCUGCAUUCGUAGUCUCGGCAUUUUAUCUCAACACGUGCACAUCAGAAUUAAGAAGUGCAGCAGAAACACAAACAUCGACAACUACUGCCCAGGAACCAUCAGCACGUGAAAAUAUAACUAUGAGCUCUUCCAUUCGAAAUCAGUCUACAGCUACAUAUGAGACAAGCGAAUCGGGCACAACCACAACAACUCUUCCUAAAACCACAGCUCAGGAGACCACUUCUGCAGCUGGGACGACACCUCUAGACGCAUCUACCAUAGAAACAACAUCUACUUCUACCCUCACAAGUACAUCAAUCCCCAGCACCAGUGCAGACCUUACAUCCAGUACUGGACAAACAUCCUCCACUGCUACCCAGGCCACAACACCAACUCAAACCACAACUGCUAGUAGUGCUUCCCAUGCACAAUCUACACUUGAGGGAACAACAUCAUCAACUACAGUUCUCUUGCCAACAACACAACCAUCAACCCAAGCACAAGAAACAAGCUCUGCAGUCACUUCAAGACCAAUGGGCUCAUCUACAGUAAUGCCCACUAGCACUUCUGCAGAGACAACAGCAGCAUCAACCACCUCACCUCCACAAACACCCACUUCUACUCUUAGAACAAGCCCAUCUCCUCCAACCACCUCAGAAACUACUCUAUCCACGUCUCAGGAGACCACUUCUGCAGCUGGGACGACACCUCCAGCCACCUCUACCAUAGAAACAACUUCUACCCUCACAAGUACAUCACUCCCUAGCACCAGUGCAGCCCUGACAUCCAGUACUGGACAAACAUCCUCCACUGCUACCCAGGCCACAACACCAACUGAAACCACAUAUCCUAGCAUUAACCCUACAGAAUUUAUUCUUGAGGAAACAACAGCAACAACUACAGUUCUCUUGUCAACAACACAGACAUCAAGCCAAGCAGAAGAAACGAGCACUGCAGUCACAACAAGACCACUGGCCACAUCUUCUGUAACACUAACUGGCACUCCUGCAGUGACAUCAGCAACAGAAACAACCCCAACUCUACAAACAUCCUCUACUACUCUUGGAAUAAGCCCAUCUCCUGCAACCAUCUCAGAAGCUCAUCUACCCACUUCUCAGGAGACCACUUCUGCAGCUGGGACAACACCUCCAGACACAUCUACCAUAGAAACAAUUUCUACUUCUACCCACACAAGUACAUCACUCCCUAGCACAAGGGCAUCCCUCACAUCCAGUACUGGACAAACAUCCUCCACUGCUACCCAGGCCACAACACCAACCCAAACCACAACUGCUAGUAGUACUUCCAAUGCACAAUCAACUCUUGUGGAAACAACAUCAACAACUACAGUUCUCUUGCCAACAACACAAACAUCAAGCCAAGCAGAAGAAACGAGCACUGCAGUCACAACAAGACCAAUGGCCACAUCUUCUGUAAUACUGACUGGCACUCCUGCAGUGACAUCAGCAACAGAAACAACCCCAACUCUACAAACAUCCUCUUCUACUCUUGGAACAAGCCCAUCUCCUGCAACCACCUCAGAAGCUACUCCAUCCACUUCUCAGGAGACCACUUCUGCAGCUGGGACAACACCUCCAGACACAUCUACCAUAGAAACUACUUCUACUUCUACCCUCGCAAGUACAUCACUCCCCAGCACCAGUGCAUCCCUCACAUCCAGUACUGGACAAACAUCCUCCACUGCUACCCAGGCCACAACACCAACUCAAACGACAACUGCUAGUAGUACUUCCAAUGCACAAUCUACUCUUGAGGAAACAACAUCAGCAACUACAGUUCUCUUGCCAACAACACAAUCAUCAACCCAAGCACAAGAAACGAGCACUGCAGUCACUUCAAGACCAAUGGGCUCAUCUACUGUAAUGCUAAGUAGCACUCCUGCAGAGACAUUAGCAGCAGCAACCACCUCAACUCCACAAACAUCCUCUUCUACUCUUGGAACAAGCUUAUCUCCUCCAACCACCUCAGAAGAUACGCCAUCCACUUCUCAGAAGACCACUUCUGCAGCUAGGAUGACACAUCCAGCCAGCUCUACCAUAGAAACUACUUCGACUUCUACCCUCACAAGUACAUCACUCCCCAGCACCAGUGCAGCCCUCACAUCCAGUACUGGACAAACAUCCUCCACUGCUACCCAGGCCACAACACCAACUCAAACCACAACUGCUAUUAGUACUUCCAAUGCACAAUCAUCUCUUGAGGAAACAUCAUCAUCAACUACAUUUGUCUUGUCAACACAAACGUCAAGCCAAGCACAAGAAACGAGCACUUCAAUCACUUCAAGACCAAUGGGCACAUCUUCUGUAACGCCGACUGGCACUCCUGCAGUGACAUCAGCAACAGAAAAAACACCAACUGUACAAACAUCCUCUUCAUCUCUUGAAACAAGCCCAUCUCCAGCAACCACCUCAGAAGCUACUCUAUCCACUUCACAGGAGACCACUUCUGCAGCUGGGACGACUCCUCCAGCCACCUCUACCAUAGAAACUACUUCGACUUCUACCCUCGCAAGUACAUCACUCUCUAGCACCAGUGCAGCCCUCACAUCCAGUACUGGACAAACAUCCUCCACUGCUACCCAGACCACAACACCAAGUCAAACUACAUCUGCUAGUAGAACUUCCAAUGCACAAUCUACUCUUGAGGAAACAACAUCAACAACUACAGUUCUCUUGCCAACAACACAAACAUCAAGCCAAGCACAAGAAACGAGCACUUCAGUCACUCCAGGCCCAACUGGCAUGUCUUCUUCUCUAAUGCCCACUAGCACUUCUGCAGAGACAUCAGCAGCAUCAACCACCUCACCUCCACAAACACCCACAUCUACUCUUAGAACAAGCCCAUCUCCUCCAACCACCUCAGAAUUAACUUACUUCUACCACGUCUCAGGAGACCACUUCUGGUAGCU